CGGAUAAGGAGCUUGCUCCUUUGAAGUUAGCGGCGGACGGGUGAGUAACACGUGGGUAACCUACCUAUAAGACUGGAAUAACUUCGGGAAACCGGAGCUAAUGCCGGAUAACAUUUGGAACCGCAUGGUUCUAAAGUAAAAGAUGGUUUUGCUAUCACUUAUAGAUGGACCCGCGCCGUAUUAGCUAGUUGGUAAGGUAACGGCUUACCAAGGCAACGAUACGUAGCCGACCUGAGAGGGUGAUCGGCCACACUGGAACUGAGACACGGUCCAGACUCCUACGGGAGGCAGCAGUAGGGAAUCUUCCGCAAUGGACGAAAGUCUGACGGAGCAACGCCGCGUGAGUGAUGAAGGUUUUCGGAUCGUAAAACUCCUGUUAUUACCCAAG
rnacentral:rRNA from 1 species